AAUAAGCUUUAGGGGUGUCCUUAACUUUGGUUUUGGUCUGAGAAAUACCCUUUGAACCUGAUGCGGUUAGUACCGACGAAGGGAAAAGUUAUGAUCACUUC
rnacentral:ncRNA from 2 species